rnacentral:sRNA from 1 species
ACCGACGUGACGAGGUGAGUCCUGCCG